rnacentral:rRNA from 1 species
UACGGAAGGCAGCAGGGGGAAUAUUGCACAAUGGGCGCAAGCCUGAUGCAGCCAUGCCGCGUGUAUGAAAAAGGCCUUCGGGUUGUAAAGUACUUUCAGUCGUGAGGAAGGCGUUAAGGUUAAUAACCUUAGCAAUUGACGUUAGCGACAGAAGAAGCACCGGCUAACUCCGUGCCAGCAGCCGCGGUAAUACGGAGGGUGCGAGCGUUAAUCGGAAUUACUGGGCGUAAAGGGCACGCAGGCGGUUAAUUAAGUUGGAUGUGAAAUCCCCGGGCUUAACCUGGGAAUGGCAUUCAAGACUGGUUAGCUAGAGUCUUGUAGAGGGGGUAGAAUUCCAUGUGUAGCGGUGAAAUGCGUAGAGAUGUGGAGGAAUACCGGUGGCAAAGGCGGCCCCUGGACAAAGACUGACGCUCAUGUGCGAAAGCGUGGGGAGCAAACAGGGAUUAGAUACC